UACGGAGGGUGCAAGCGUUGUCCGGAAUCACUGGGCGUAAAGGGCGCGUAGGUGGCCCCUCAAGCGUGCGGUGAAAGUCAGGGGCUCAACCCCUGAUCGGCCGUGCGAACUGGGGAGCUUGAGCACUGUAGAGGCAGGCGGAAUUCCGGGUGUAGCGGUGGAAUGCGUAGAGAUCCGGAAGAACACCGGUGGCGAAGGCGGCCUGCUGGGCAGUUUUGCUGACACUGAGGCGCGACAGCGUGGGGAGCAAACAGG
rnacentral:rRNA from 1 species